GAAAUGAGCUGGGGACCACGCUGAGGGCAUCUAGAGUCAGGGGACUGGAGAGGAGAAAAAUGGAGGAGGUCUGUUGAGGCCUGAGGGGCUGGACAAUGGGCCCUGAUCAGAUGACAUCCCAGUUCUUCAAUGGGGCCCUUGUGAGUGUCACCUGAACUCCAGACUUGAGGAGCAGUUGUCACAGAGACAUGGGAGAGAUGGAACCCAAGCCGGGGCUGAUGGAGAGGGUAAGGGUGCAGGUGAGGGGGGUGCUGGUGGCUCAGUUAAUGGCCCCAUCCAGGGGGCGCACCUAGAGGUUGCCUGGAGCCCUUGAGUAGCCCGGGGUGUUAUGUAGGGACCAUUCUGAGAGGCGCUUGGCUGGGAGGUGGCAGUUGGGAAAGCAAAGGGAAAAAUCGGGAGAGGAGUCGGGAAGUUUGAGCCCAGAAAGAGGAGGAGAAAGGAGAGGUCGGGAAGAGAGAGUUGGAGUGUGUGCAGCGCCCUGCCACCCUCUUCCUCCUCUCACAUAGGCAAAGCUCUGCCACCCCAGACUUUCUGAGACCUUGGCACUUGCCAAGCCUGGGUGGGGGUGGCAGAGAGACCGGCCAGAGCGGGAGAGCGGCUGUUCCAUCUACUAGCUCAUCUUCACUCCCUGGGAAGCGAGGUCAGAGCUGUGUCCCUGCCGGUCCCUGGGAGACUGAAGGACCCGCGGGAGGGCACCUGAGGGCUCUGUGGUGGGAGGGCCCAGGCUCCUGGAAGCCCAGUGGCUGGGCUCCUGCUGGUGUCCACACUCACUGAGCUCCCAGGUCUCCCUCCGGCCUUCGCUUGCCUCCCCUCACUGCCUUCCAAACCCUGUCUCCCCCAAAUUCCCAAGUGCUGUCACCCGAACUCCUCCCUGACACUCAGUGUACCACAGUGCCGUGGUCUCCAGAUUCUUGGCACCCUGGUGAAGUCCCCUUUCCCCCAAGCUGGCCAGGGCAGGGACCUAAUGCAGAUGGGGCAGGAUACUCACCC